GUUGUGGUUAAAAAGCUCGUAGUUGAACCUUGGGCCUGGCUGGCCGGUCCGCCUCACCGCGUGUACCGGUCCGGCCGGGCCUUUCCCUCUGUGGAACCCCAUGCCCUUCACUGGGUGUGGCGGGGAAACAGGACUUUUACUGUGAAAAAAUUAGAGUGCUCCAGGCAGGCCUAUGCUCGAAUACAUUAGCAUGGAAUAAUAGAAUAGGACGUGUGGUUCUAUUUUGUUGGUUUCUAGGACCGCCGUAAUGAUUAAUAGGGACAGUCGGGGGCAUCAGUAUUCAAUUGUCAGAGGUGAAAUUCUUGGAUUUAUUGAAGACUAACUACUGCGAAAGCAUUUGCCAAGGAUGUUUUCAUUAAUCAGGAACGAAAGUUAGGGGAUCGAAGACGAUCAGAUACCGUCGUAGUCUUAACCAUAAACUAUGCCGACUAGGGAUCGGACGAUGUUAUUAUUUGACUCGUUCGGCACCUUACGAGAAAUCAAAGUGCUUGGGCUCCAGGGGGAGUAUGGUCGCAAGGCUGAAACUUAAAGAAAUUGACGGAAGGGCACCACCAGGGGUGGAGCCUGCGGCUUAAUUUGACUCAACACGGGGAAACUCACCAGGUCCAGACACAAUGAGGAUUGACAGAUUGAGAGCUCUUUCUUGAUUUUGUGGGGUGGGUGGUGCAUGGCCGUUCUUAGUUGGUGGAGUGAUUUGUCUGCUUAAUUGCGAUAACGAACGAGACCUUAACCUGCUAAAUAGCCCGUAUUGCUUUGGCAGUACGCUGGCUUCUUAGAGGGACUAUCGGCUCAGCCGAUGGAGUUUGAGCAUACAGUCUGUGAUGCCCUUAGAUGUCUGGGCGCACGCGCGCUACACUGAC
rnacentral:rRNA from 1 species